CAAUGCGGGAUGAUGGCGACCGGCAAACGGGUGCGGAACACGUACGCAACCUUCCUUUAAGUGGGGGAUAGCCCGGGGAAACCCGGAUUAAUACCCCGUAAUAUUAUGGAGUGCAUCACUUUAUAAUUAUAGCUCCGGCGCUUAAAGAUGGGCGUGCGUCUGAUUAGGUAGUUGGCGGGGUAAUGGCCCACCAAGCCUACGAUCAGUAACUGGUGUGAGAGCACGACCAGUCACACGGGCACUGAGACACGGGCCCGACUCCUACGGGAGGCAGCAGUAAGGAAUAUUGGUCAAUGGACGCAAGUCUGAACCAGCCAUGCCGCGUGGAGGAUGAAGGUCCUCUGGAUUGUAAACUUCUUUUAUCUGGGAAGAAACCCAUAGUUUCUACUGUGGUUGACGGUACCAGAUGAAUAAGCACCGGCUAACUCCGUGCCAGCAGCCGCGGUAAUACGGAGGGUGCAAGCGUUAUCCGGAUUCACUGGGUUUAAAGGGUGCGUAGGUGGGCAGGUAAGUCAGUGGUGAAAUCUCCGGGCUUAACCCGGAAACUGCCGUUGAUACUAUCUGUCUUGAAUAUCGUGGAGAUGAGCGGAAUAUGUCAUGUAGCGGUGAAAUGCUUAGAUAUGACAUAGAACACCGAUUGCGAAGGCAGCUCGUUACACGGUUAUUGACACUGAGGCACGAAAGCGUGGGGAUCAAACAGGAUUAGAUACCCUGGUAGUCCACGCCCUAAACGAUGAUUACUCGACAUCAGCGAUACACUGUUGGUGUCUGAGCGAAAGCAUUAAGUAAUCCACCUGGGAAGUACGACCGCAAGGUUGAAACUC
rnacentral:rRNA from 1 species